AGUCGGACGGCAGCACAGAGAAGCUUGCUUCUUGGGUGGCGAGUGGCGAACGGGUGAGUAACAUAUCGGAACGUACCGAGCAGUGGGGGAUAACUAAUCGAAAGAUUAGCUAAUACCGCAUAUUUUCUGAGGAAGAAAGCAGGGGACCAUUUGGCCUUGCGCUGUUUGAGCGGCCGAUAUCUGAUUAGCUGGUUGGUGGGGUAAAGGCCUACCAAGGCGACGAUCAGUAGCGGGUCUGAGAGGAUGAUCCGCCACACUGGGACUGAGACACGGCCCAGACUCCUACGGGAGGCAGCAGUGGGGAAUUUUGGACAAUGGGCGCAAGCCUGAUCCAGCCAUGCCGCGUGUCUGAAGAAGGCCUUCGGGUUGUAAAGGACUUUUGUCAGGGAAGAAAAAGAUAGGGUUAAUACCCCUGUCUGAUGACGGUACCUGAAGAAUAAGCACCGGCUAA
rnacentral:rRNA from 1 species